ACCUACGUCAGGUUAAGAUUCUUGCAUCUCACUCCAAAAUCCUCUACCUUCUGUUGGGCUGUAAUCCCCUAGGCAUGAUUGUCUGUACUUUAUAAAUCCGAUCACCCCAUGUUACACCCUUCCCCAACGUUACACCCUUCUGUGUAACCUAAUCUUCCAUUUCCACUUCUUUCUCCAGACAGUAGCCAAUCCCAGGAAGUGGGAGUGUUCUUAAGUGAGUCUAAUCACUUAAAAAGCAGAGUUGUCCAGGGAAGACUUCUCCAGAGAAGUCAGACUGAAUUUGUGGAGGCUGGGCUUUGGUGAGCUCAGUGUUGCUGCUGACCUGGAUAUCCACGAAUCUUCUAGACUUGAGACAAUACAUCGCAGAUUCUGAAACAUGGAUUCAGACACACUGCAAACCUUCCAGAGGGAGCUCUGUUGCUUUAUCUGCAGGAACUACUUAAUGGACGCAGUCACCAUUGACUGUGGGCAUAGCUUUUGCAGGCCCUGCCUUUAUCUAUGCUGGGAGAAAGGCCAAGCUCCAGCGGUCUGUCCUGUGUGUGGGAAAAUCCCCUAGAAGACUGACUUCAACACAAAUAUUGUUCUCAAGAAGUUGGCUUCUCUUGCAAGGCAGCGCAGACCUCACAACAUCAACAGCUCAGAGAAGCAGAUCUGUGUGCUACAUGAAGAGGAAAAGGGGCUCUUCUGUGAGGCAGAGGAGAGACUCCUCUGUGGGCCCUGCUCUGAGUCACCAGAGCAUGAGGCUUAUGGCCACAGCCCAAUAUGAUGGGCUGCUGAGGAGUGCAGGGAGAAACUUCUGAAGAAAAUGGAUCCUUUAUGGAGGAGAACUCAAGAAAUGCAAAACAAUCUAAAUCAGGAAAUUAGCAAAAUCCAUUCAUUAACGGACUAUGUGGCCCUCAGGAAAGGGAUGAUCAGAUAUCAAUAUCAAAAGUUGCGCCAAUUUCUCCUGGAGGAGGAGCAACGCCAUCUGGAGACAAUGGACAGAGAAGCAGAAGAGAUUUUUCGACAACUCCAAAACAGUGAAGUAAGAAUAACUCAACAUAUAAAAAAGAUGAAAAACAUGUACAGAGAGCUGUGGGAGAUGUGCCACAUGCCCGAUGUGAAGCUGCACCAGGACUUGGAAAACAUACUGGAAUGGACAGAGUUGGUGCAAAUGGAAAAGCCCCAGCCAGUGAACCCAGAACUCACUUCCUGGCACAUCACUGGAGUGUUAGAUAAGCUCAACAAAUUCAGAGCGGAUGAUCCUCUGAGUAAGGAAAAGGCGAAUCACUAUAUGAGCCUUUCUGAGGAUGUGAGAAAUGUGAUAUUUGGAGAUGACCAUGAUGGUGCACCCGGGGAGUCCCAGAGAGCAGAGAACUUUGCAGCAUGGGGAGCUCAGGCCUUCUCCUCCGGCAGGCAUAACUGGGAAGUGGAUGUAACCCACUCCCCCAACUGGAUUCUGGGAGUCUGUAAAGAUUCCAGGACAGCAAACACAAAUCACGUUCCGGCUUUUGAGGAAGGAUUUUUUCUAUUUUCUUCAAAGAGAAACAACCUUUAUAGCCUCUCCAACAUUUUUUUUCCCUUAACUCACUAUGUGCAGAGACCUUUGGGUCGGGUUGGGGUCUUUCUGGAUUAUGACAACACAGUUGCGAGCUUUUAUGAUGCUUCAAAAGGUUCCCUCAUAUACAGCUUUUUCCCUACCUCUUUUUCUUCCCUUUUGACACCUUUCUUUUGUUUUGGUUCCCCAUGA
ensembl:lncRNA novel transcript